rnacentral:rRNA from 1 species
UACGGGGGGGAGCAAGCGUUGUUCGGAUUUACUGGGCGUAAAGGGCGCGUAGGCGGCCAGCACAAGUCAGUUGUGAAAUCUCCGAGCUUAACUCGGAACGGUCAACUGAUACUGUGCGGCUAGAGUGCGGAAGGGGCAACUGGAAUUCUUGGUGUAGCGGUGAAAUGCGUAGAGAUGUGGAGGAACACCGAUGGCGAAGGCAGCCUUCUGGGCCAACACUGACGCUCAUGCACGAAAGCGUGGGGAGCAAACAGG